rnacentral:lncRNA from 1 species
UUCCACAGUCGAGGAGGUCUAGUUGUGGGGAAAGCGCAAUGCGAGCUAGGAUUUUGGCCGGUACGAGGUGAGUAAUGGUUAUGAAUGAUAUAACGAGGGUUUGAACUCCCGUAUUUUCACUAUAAGGUGCUAUGUUGAGAUGAGAUACACAUAUUGUGCUGAUCAUGGUGAUGUAUUUGCUGGGGACUCAGACUUGGUCCAUCCCGAGUGAUGACUUAUUGUAUAUCUCGACUGAGACAGAGCUUGUACUCGCAUAAUUCGGGCUAGUUGCCAUGUUUGGGCGAUGUGCCGAUAUGUAGAAUUCCUAGGGAGUAUGUUGAGCUGAUUGAUCUCACUUUACCUAAUGGACACAUACCAUCUGUCCUUACUUUGACUGUAAAUCGUGAAAUAAUGAGACUUGGAAACUUGCACCCUGAAUGGGCAAUACCUUGGGUUUAAUACCUUGUCUCAACUGAGUGGGCCCGGGAGGCCAAGUAUAUAAUGACUGAGUGGGGUCAAGGACCCUGCAGUGAGUUUAAUUAAUAUAUAUACAUCGGGUUGGGCUGCACGCCGUAGCAGUAUAUACAUACACAUGUAUAUGGAUCGAACUGUAUGCCGCAGUAGUAUAUUAUAUAGAUCGGAUUGCAUGCCGCAUUAGUAUAUUAUAUGGAUCGGACUGCAUGCCAUUGUGAUAUAUUAUAUGGAUCGGACUGCACGCCGCAGGGAUAUAUGGAUCGGAAUGCACGCCGCAGUAUUAUAGCGCUUGAGCUGAAGGAGCCCCUUCGGAGUCUGUAC